AUUGAACGCUGGCGGCAGGCCUAACACAUGCAAGUCGAGCGAGCGGCGGACGGGUGAGUAAUGUCUGGGAAACUGCCUGAUGGAGGGGGAUAACUACUGGAAACGGUAGCUAAUACCGCAUACCAUCAGAUGUGCCCCGAUGGGGUUAGCUAGUAUGUGGGGUAACGGCUCACCUAGGCGACGAUCCCUAGCUGGUCUGCGAGGUUGACCAGCCACACGGGAACUGAGACACGGUCCAGACUCCUACGGGAGGCAGCAGUGGGGAAUAUUGGACAAUGGGCGCAAGCCUGAUACAGCCAUGCCGCGUGUGUGAAGAAGGCCUUCGGGUUGUAAAGCACUUUCAGCGGGGAGGCGUUACCCGCAGAAGAAGCACCGGCUAACUCCGUGCCAGCAGCCGCGGUAAUUC
rnacentral:rRNA from 1 species